rnacentral:rRNA from 1 species
CCCUUAGAUGUUCUGGGCUGCACGCGCGCUACACUGAUGCACUCAACGAGUUUACGACCUUGCCCGAUAGGGUUGGGUAAUCUUUUUAAAAUGCAUCGUGAUGGGGAUAGAUUAUUGCAAUUAUUAAUCUUCAACGAGGAAUUCCUAGUAAGCGCGAGUCAUCAGCUCGUGCUGAUUACGUCCCUGCCCUUUGUACACACCGCCCGUCGCUCCUACCGAUUGAAUGAUCCGAUGAAUAUCAUGGAUUGAGGAUGCAAGUAGGUUCACCUAUCUUCAUCUUCGAGAAGUGAAGUAAAUCUUAUCAUUUAGAGGAAGGAGAAGUCGUAACA